AUAAUACUCUCUCCGUCUGGAAUUACUUGUCAUCAAAAUGGAUGUGUCUAGAACUAAAAUACAUCUAGAUACAUCCAUUUCAAUGACAAGUAUUUUCGGACGGAGGGAGUAGUAG
rfam:Triticum aestivum genome assembly, contig: Triticum_aestivum_CS42_TGACv1_scaffold_504459_6BL